CAUCAUAGUCUCCUUGUACUGUUUCUUCUGGGUGACCUUGAUGGGCGGCAGCUUGGUGACGGCUGACACCAGGAAGUUCAUCAGGAUGUCUUCACAGUUAGACAGCUGAUCCACCAGGUCCCUCAGACUAGCCGGCAGGUAACUGGUAUACAGGUAGUGGUAAUAUCUACAGGUAAAGACAGGUAGUGGUAAUAUCUACAGGUAGUGGUAAUAUCUACAGGUAAAGACAGGUAGUGGUAAUAUCUACAGGUAAAGACAGGUAGUGGUAAUAUCUACAGGUAAAGACAGGUAGUGGUAAUAUCUACAGGUAGUGGUAAUAUCUACAGGUAAAGACAGGUAGUGGUAAUAUCUACAGGUAGUGGUAAUAUCUACAGGUAAAGACAGGUAGUGGUAAUAUCUACAGGUAAAGACAGGUAGUGGUAAUAUCUACAGGUAAAGACAGGUAGUGGUAAUAUCUACAGGUAAAGACAGGUAGUGGUAAUAUCUACAGGUAAAGACAGGUAGUGGUAAUAUCUACAGGUAAAGACAGGUAGUGGUAAUAUCUCCAGGUAAAGACAGGUAGUGGUAAUAUCUACAGGUAGUGGUAAUAUCUACAGGUAAAGACAGGUAGUGGUAAUAUCUACAGGUAAAGACAGGUAGUGGUAAUAUCUACAGGUAAAGACAGGUAGUGGUAAUAUCUACAAAAAGCAGAGUUCAUCUCAGCCUAUGCCCCCCUCCAGUCCCUUGACUUCUUGGCACUGACGGAAACAUGGAUCACCACAGAUAACACUGCUACUCCUACUGCUCUCUCCUCGUCCGCCCACGUGUUCUCGCACACCCCGAGAGCUUCUGGUCAGCGGGGUGGUGGCACCGGGAUCCUCAUCUCUCCCAAGUGGUCUUUCUCUCUUUCUCCCCUUACCCAUCUGUCUAUCGCCUCCUUUGAAUUCCAUGCUGUCACAGUUACCAGCCCUUUCAAGCUUAACAUCCUUAUCAUUUAUCGCCCUCCAGGUUCCCUCGGAGAGUUCAUCAAUGAGCUUGAUGCCUUGAUAAGCUCCUUUCCUGAGGACGGCUCACCUCUCACAGUUCUGGGCGACUUUAACCUCCCCACGUCUACCUUUGACUCAUUCCU